UUUAUGGAGAGUUUGAUCCUGGCUCAGGAUGAACGCUGGCGGCGUGCCUAAUACAUGCAAGUCGAGCGAACGGAUGAGAAACUUGCUUCUCUGAUGUUAGCGGCGGACGGGUGAGUAACACGUGGAUAACCUACCUAUAAGACUGGGAUAACUUCGGGAAACCGGAGCUAAUACCGGAUAAUAUUUUGA
rnacentral:rRNA from 1 species